AGCAAGUUCCCCGCGCUACCCCGCGGGAAGUCUAAUCGGAUCAAUCGGUGGUUCCGUAAUGAGUAGUCGAAUACACAUUGAGGGGCCCUUGCCUCCUCCUUCCCGCCCACACGUUCAUUCUUUUCCUCCUCUGAUCUUAGAAAGCAUACUAAACUUCACUCCAAUCUUUCUCCAUUAGCAACAAGAGCACCGGGAAUAGAAGGGGGAGGUAAUUAGAUUGUUCUGUUUAACAACUGAGCAAUAAGGAUAUUGCAAGGGAGUUAAACAUGCAAUAACAAGCCUCAUGCGUAAAGGGAGCCCACCUCUAAGGGUGGCCCCUUUACAACAGA
rnacentral:lncRNA from 1 species